UUAAAUUGAAGAGUUUGAUCAUGGCUCAGAUUGAACGCUGGCGGCAGGCCUAACACAUGCAAGUCGAACGGUAACAGGAAGCAGCUUGCUGCUUUGCUGACGAGUGGCGGACGGGUGAGUAAUGUCUGGGAAACUGCCUGAUGGAGGGGGAUAACUACUGGAAACGGUAGCUAAUACCGCAUAACGUCGCAAGACCAAAGAGGGGGACCUUCGGGCCUCUUGCCAUCGGAUGUGCCCAGAUGGGAUUAGCUAGUAGGUGGGGUAACGGCUCACCUAGGCGACGAUCCCUAGCUGGUCUGAGAGGAUGACCAGCCACACUGGAACUGAGACACGGUCCAGACUCCUACGGGAGGCAGCAGUGGGGAAUAUUGCACAAUGGGCGCAAGCCUGAUGCAGCCAUGCCGCGUGUAUGAAGAAGGCCUUCGGGUUGUAAAGUACUUUCAGCGGGGAGGAAGGGAGUAAAGUUAAUACCUUUGCUCAUUGACGUUACCCGCAGAAGAAGCACCGGCUAACUCCGUGCCAGCAGCCGCGGUAAUACGGAGGGUGCAAGCGUUAAUCGGAAUUACUGGGCGUAAAGCGCACGCAGGCGGUUUGUUAAGUCAGAUGUGAAAUCCCCGGGCUCAACCUGGGAACUGCAUCUGAUACUGGCAAGCUUGAGUCUCGUAGAGGGGGGUAGAAUUCCAGGUGUAGCGGUGAAAUGCGUAGAGAUCUGGAGGAAUACCGGUGGCGAAGGCGGCCCCCUGGACGAAGACUGACGCUCAGGUGCGAAAGCGUGGGGAGCAAACAGGAUUAGAUACCCUGGUAGUCCACGCCGUAAACGAUGUCGACUUGGAGGUUGUGCCCUUGAGGCGUGGCUUCCGGAGCUAACGCGUUAAGUCGACCGCCUGGGGAGUACGGCCGCAAGGUUAAAACUCAAAUGAAUUGACGGGGCCCGCACAAGCGGUGGAGCAUGUGGUUUAAUUCGAUGCAACGCGAAGAACCUUACCUGGUCUUGACAUCCACGGAAGUUUUCAGAGAUGAGAAUGUGCCUUCGGGAACCGUGAGACAGGUGCUGCAUGGCUGUCGUCAGCUCGUGUUGUGAAAUGUUGGGUUAAGUCCCGCAACGAGCGCAACCCUUAUCCUUUGUUGCCAGCGGUCCGGCCGGGAACUCAAAGGAGACUGCCAGUGAUAAACUGGAGGAAGGUGGGGAUGACGUCAAGUCAUCAUGGCCCUUACGACCAGGGCUACACACGUGCUACAAUGGCGCAUACAAAGAGAAGCGACCUCGCGAGAGCAAGCGGACCUCAUAAAGUGCGUCGUAGUCCGGAUUGGAGUCUGCAACUCGACUCCAUGAAGUCGGAAUCGCUAGUAAUCGUGGAUCAGAAUGCCACGGUGAAUACGUUCCCGGGCCUUGUACACACCGCCCGUCACACCAUGGGAGUGGGUUGCAAAAGAAGUAGGUAGCUUAACCUUCGGGAGGGCGCUUACCACUUUGUGAUUCAUGACUGGGGUGAAGUCGUAACAAGGUAACCGUAGGGGAACCUGCGGUUGGAUCACCUCCUUACCUUAAAGAAGC
rnacentral:rRNA from 1 species